UGGCGGCAGGCCUACACAUGCAAGUCGAGCGGUAGAGAGGUGCUUGCACCUCUUGAGAGCGGCGGACGGGUGAGUAAUGCCUAGGAAUCUGCCUGGUAGUGGGGGAUAACGCUCGGAAACGGACGCUAAUACCGCAUACGUCCUACGGGAGAAAGCAGGGGACCUUCGGGCCUUGCGCUAUCAGAUGAGCCUAGGUCGGAUUAGCUAGUUGGUGAGGUAAUGGCUCACCAAGGCGACGAUCCGUAACUGGUCUGAGAGGAUGAUCAGUCACACUGGAACUGAGACACGGUCCAGACUCCUACGGGAGGCAGCAGUGGGGAAUAUUGGACAAUGGGCGAAAGCCUGAUCCAGCCAUGCCGCGUGUGUGAAGAAGGUCUUCGGAUUGUAAAGCACUUUAAGUUGGGAGGAAGGGCAUUAACCUAAUACGUUAGUGUUUUGACGUUACCGACAGAAUAAGCACCGGCUAACUCUGUGCCAGCAGCCGCGGUAAUACAGAGGGUGCAAGCGUUAAUCGGAAUUACUGGGCGUAAAGCGCGCGUAGGUGGUUCGUUAAGUUGGAUGUGAAAUCCCCGGGCUCAACCUGGGAACUGCAUUCAAAACUGUCGAGCUAGAGUAUGGUAGAGGGUGGUGGAAUUUCCUGUGUAGCGGUGAAAUGCGUAGAUAUAGGAAGGAACACCAGUGGCGAAGGCGACCACCUGGACUGAUACUGACACUGAGGUGCGAAAGCGUGGGGAGCAAACAGGAUUAGAUACCCUGGUAGUCCACGCCGUAAACGAUGUCAACUAGCCGUUGGGAGCCUUGAGCUCUUAGUGGCGCAGCUAACGCAUUAAGUUGACCGCCUGGGGAGUACGGCCGCAAGGUUAAAACUCAAUGAAUUGACGGGGGCCCGCACAAGCGGUGGACCAUGUGGUUUAAUU
rnacentral:rRNA from 1 species